CGGGGUGGAGUAACGCGUGGGUAACCUGCCCUGUACAGGGGGAUAACAGUCAGAAAUGACUGCUAAUACCGCAUAAGACCACAGCACCGCAUGGUGCAGGGGUAAAAACUACCGGUGGUACAGGAUGGACCCGCGUCUGAUUAGCUGGUUGGUGAGGUAACGGCUCACCAAGGCGACGAUCAGUAGCCGGCUUGAGAGAGUGAACGGCCACAUUGGGACUGAGACACGGCCCAA
rnacentral:rRNA from 1 species